AACGAACGCUGGCGGCAGGCCUAACACAUGCAAGUCGAACGCUCGUAGCAAUACGGGAGUGGCAGACGGGUGAGUAACACGUGGGAACCUUCCCUAUGGUUCGGAAUAGCUCAGGGAAACUUGGGGUAAUACCGGAUAAGCCCUUCGGGGGAAAGAUUUAUCGCCAUUGGAUGGGCCCGCGUCGGAUUAGCUAGUUGGUGAGGUAACGGCUCACCAAGGCAACGAUCCGUAGCUGGUCUGAGAGGAUGAUCAGCCACACUGGGACUGAGACACGGCCCAGACUCCUACGGGAGGCAGCAGUGGGGAAUAUUGGACAAUGGGCGCAAGCCUGAUCCAGCCAUGCCGCGUGAGUGACGAAGG
rnacentral:rRNA from 1 species